CCCUAAUGCGCCUCGAAAUGAGGAACUCAAAAGUCACGUGUAAAGAAAAAAUUUCUGUGUAGUGAUAUUGGACAUGUUUCUAUUUUUAACAAAUGACUGAACUUAAUUAUUUGUGGUGAUUAGGAAAGUAGAGGAACAUAGAAUAAAUGUGUAAAAACUAUGGAGCUAUUGAAUGUGUUCAAAGUAUUAAAUUUUCAAAGAACUUAUUGUGUUAAAAAGGGGAUAUUUUACCACAAGGAGCCGCA
rnacentral:lncRNA from 1 species